GGCCCAAUGGUCUAGUAGUAUGAUACCUCCUUCGGGAUCUCAUCCCACUUGCGUCUGCAAGCGCAUUGGAGGUGGCCCCGGGUUCAAUUCCCGGUUGGGCCC